rnacentral:rRNA from 1 species
GAUGAACGCUGGCGGCGUGCCUAAUACGUGCAAGUCGAGCGAACGGACGAGAAGCUUGCUUCUCUGAUGUUAGCGGCGGACGGGUGAGUAACACGUGGAUAACCUACCUAUAAGACUGGGAUAACUUCGGGAAACCGGAGCUAAUACCGGAUAAUAUUUUGAACCGCAUGGUUCAAAAGUGAAAGACGGUCUUGCUGUCACUUAUAGAUGGAUCCGCGCUGCAUUAGCUAGUUGGUAAGGUAACGGCUUACCAAGGCAACGAUGCAUAGCCGACCUGAGAGGGUGAUCGGCCACACUGGAACUGAGACACGGUCCAGACUCCUACGGGAGGCAGCAGUAGGGAAUCUGCCGCAAUGGGCGAAAGCCUGACGGAGCAACGCCGCGUGAGUGAUGAAGGUCUUCGGAUCGUAAAACUCUGUUAUUAGGGAAGAACAUAUGUGUAAGUAACUGUGCACAUAUUGACGGUACCUAAUCAGAAAGCCACGGCUAACUACGUG